UUUUUUUUUUCUUAUGGAUAAGAAAAUCAACGCAGUGAAGACUAAUAACUAGCAUGGCUUCCAUGUUGGGACAGUAACAUACCAUGGCUGAAUGAAGACCAUACACACUGCCUAUAGAAGGCAGCCCCUACUCAGCUUAGCCAAAUUUUCUCAAGAAUAAUUAUAGGUCUAGUGGAUCUAGAUCUUAUUAUAUUUUUGAGAAAAGCUAGAAAUGUGGAUUUUUAUAUCAAAUGCAUCCGUUUUUAGUGUUGGUGCAAUUUCUAAAAAUAAACAAAACUGUAUGGGCCAAAUAAAAUAUAUAUGCGAGCUGAAUUUGGCUAGUGGAUUACUAGUUUGUGAACUCUUAUUUAGAAAGAUCUGCCUCUGAGAAUUAGUGUUUCCUUCUUGAGCAGGCAGCAUGUGGAUCUGUGUGUAUGUGCUUCUAUGUAUGUGAUUUAGCAAUUAACCAGUAAAAACGCCCCCUUCAAAAGACGCAUAUUGAUGAAAUCAUUUGUGACCUCACAGGAAUCACAAACGAUGUUCCUAUGACACCCUAGAUUGUUCUGUUACACAAGGAAUACCAAAGUCCACCCUGAGCUUUUCCUCUGGGAACAGAUUCCAGAUUAUUCUAGACUUAGGACAUGGAGAUAUAUCUUGCUAGAGGUAGGAAGAUGAUAAGAUCAGUUUCUGUAGGUAGAGAAUAAUGUGUCCUAAAAUGUAGGUAGAGAUAAGUUUGACAGUGGUUUAGACAAGAAGGGCCUCUGCUAAUGGUGGAGAGAUCAAGGAAGAAAAGAGCAAUGUUAAAAUUGCUAUACCCACAGGUCAUGCUCAAGCAAACUCGAACCAUGAGCACAUUUCUCUUAAACAAGGAACACUUAGAAUACAAAUAAAAAUUUCCCACAAAUUUCAAAUUUUAAAAUAGUUUCCCAAGAUUUCAGUGGUAUCAUAUAUACGCCCACAUAAAUUUUGGAUUACAAUUCCCACAAAUGUAAGAUGAAAGAGGACCUGCCCUCCAUUCUGUCUACUCCCUCUCUGCAAAGGCCAUUUGGAAGGUCUCAGUUGUACUGAAAGGGGUCUGCCACCCGUAACCUCCCUGGUGUACCAGCAACAAGUGUUCAGUGGACCAUGGAAACACAAAGAAUGAUGGAGGAGAGAAAAUGCCCUGCAGAAGAGAGAGUCAAGAUGAAGAUGUGGGAGAGGAGCAGGUAUAAACCCCUUCUUAUACCAAAUAGAUUAGGGGGAAGUGACCAGAAAAGUGAUGCUAACCAUGCACUUAGGGUACAGCCAUAUAAUGAGAUAGAAGAGUCUCAGCUGGGACUAGAAUAAUUUUCUAUCACUUAUUUCUCUACUAAAAUUUUAAAACUCUAAAUUUAUAAAACAGAUAUGAAAGAAAAGUAUAAAUGUAAGUACUACUUUUCAUGCAAUGCAAAUUACUUUCCCAUUCACUACUCUGAAACUUACAAGCAAAACUAAUAUGUUUGCAGAGUUGAAUCUUUUCUGAGCUUUUUUUUUUUUUUUUUGGAGUAAACCUUAGAGUGAAGAUGAAAGACAUGUAAAGAGACAUGAUUACCUUUACCACAAAAUGAAAAACAAUAAGGAAUUAUUGUACCUUUCAGUACAGCACUUUCCUUACUAUUACCCC
rnacentral:lncRNA from 1 species